rnacentral:rRNA from 1 species
CCUACGGGUGGCAGCAGUGGGGAAUAUUGGGCAAUGGGCGCAAGCCUGACCCAGCAACGCCGCGUGAAGGAAGAAGGCUUUCGGGUUGUAAACUUCUUUUCUCAGGGACGAAGCAAGUGACGGUACCUGAGGAAUAAGCCACGGCUAACUACGUGCCAGCAGCCGCGGUAAUACGUAGGUGGCAAGCGUUAUCCGGAUUUAUUGGGUUUAAAGGGUGCGUAGGCGGAAUGCCAAGUCAGCGGUAAAAUCGCGGGGCUAAACCUCGCUCCGCCGUUGAAACUGGCGUUCUUGAGUGGGCGAGAAGUAUGCGGAAUGCGGGGGGUAGCGGUGAAAUGCAGAGAUAUCACGCAGAACUCCGAUUGCGAAGGCAGCAUACCGGCGCCCAACUGACGCUGAAGCACGAAAGGGUGGGUAUCGAACAGGAUUAGAUACCCCGGUAGUC